AACGUAGGUGGCAAGCGUUAUCCGGAUUUACUGGGCGUAAAGGGUGUGCAGGCGGCUUGUCAAGUGGUGUAUGAAAGCGCUCGGCUCAACCGGGCAAGGCUAUGCCAGACUGACGGGCUGGAGACUGACAGAGGGUGGUGGAAUUCCGGGUGUAGUGGUGAAAUGCGUAGAGAUCCGGAGGAACCCCAGAGGCGAAGGCGGCCACCUGGGUCAGUUCUGACGCUCAGACACGACAGCAUGGGGAGCGAACGGG
rnacentral:rRNA from 1 species